GCAUAUAUAGUUUAAUGGCAGAACAUUCGCUUCCCAAGCAAAGGGCACGGGUUCGAUUCCCGUUAUGUGCACCA
rnacentral:tRNA from 1 species